GAUGAACGCUAGCGGCAGGCCUAACACAUGCAAGUCGAGGGAGAAGCCCUUUCGGGGGCAGAAACCGGCGCACGGGUGCGUAACGCGUAUGCAACCUACCUUUCACAGGGGGAUAGCCCGAAGAAAUUUGGAUUAAUACCCCAUAAUAUUAUUGGAUGGCAUCAUUUGAUAAUUAAAACUGCGGUGGUGAAAGAUGGGCAUGCGUCCUAUUAGCUAGUUGGAGUGGUAACGGCACCCCAAGGCUACGAUAGGUAGGGGUCCUGAGAGGGAGAUCCCCCACACUGGUACUGAGACAGGGACCAGACUCCUACGGGAGGCAGCAGUGAGGAAUAUUGGUCAAUGGUCGGAAGACUGAACCAGCCAUGCCGCGUGCAGGAAGAAUGCCUUAUGGGUUGUAAACUGCUUUUAUAUGGGAAGAAUAAGGUGUACGUGUACAUUGAUGACGGUACCAUAUGAAUAAGCAUCGGCUAACCCCGUG
rnacentral:rRNA from 1 species